rnacentral:rRNA from 1 species
ACACGACUCUCGGCAACGGAUAUCUCGGCUCUCGCAUCGAUGAAGAMCGUAGCGAAAUGCGAUACCUGGUGUGAAUUGCAGAAUCCCGCGAACCAUCGAGUCUUUGAACGCAAGUUGCGCCCGAGGCCAUUCGGCCGAGGGMACGCCUGCCUGGGCGUCACGC